rnacentral:rRNA from 1 species
UACGUAGGGUGCAAGCGUUAAUCGGAAUUACUGGGCGUAAAGCGUGCGCAGGUGGUUUUGUAAGUCAGAUGUGAAAUCCCCGGGCUUAACCUGGGAACUGCGUUUGAAACUACAAGGCUAGAGUGUAGCAGAGGGGGGUGGAAUUCCACGUGUAGCAGUGAAAUGCGUAGAGAUGUGGAGGAACACCGAUGGCGAAGGCAGCCCCCUGGGUUAACACUGACGCUCAGGCACGAAAGCGUGGGGAGCAAACAGG